rnacentral:tRNA from 1 species
GCCGACAUAGUUCAACGGCAGAACAGCGGUUUCGUAACCCGCAAACGGCAGUUCAAUUCUGCCUGUCGGCU